UUGCUAUUACUGUUCCUGAUUCAAGUGAUCUAUCUGUCAGGAGAUUUGUGUUUCAGACCAGCACUUGUUAUGUUCAAUGAUGCUGAAAAGAAAGGCUUAUUAACUCCUGGAGUGAAAACUUUGAUAGAUCCAACAUCAGGAAACAUGAGAAUCAGCAUGGCUUUUGUGGCCGCAAUGAAAGGGUACAAGAUGGUUUUGACCAUGCCGUCUUACACGAGCUUGGAGAGAAGAAUGUGUAUGAGAACCUUAGGAGCUGAGUUGAUUCUCUCUGACCCUCCAAAAGGGAU